CAGUCGCCGCGGUAAUACGAAGGGGGCUAGCGUUGUUCGGAUUUACUGGGCGUAUAGGGUGCGUAGGCGGAUUGUUAAGUCAGGGGUGAAAUGCCGGGGCUCAACCUCGGAACUGCCUUUGAUACUGGCGAUCUUGAGUCCGGGAGAGGUGAGUGGAACUGCGAGUGUAGAGGUGAAAUUCGUAGAUAUUCGCAAGAACACCAGUGGCGAAGGCGGCUCACUGGCCCGGAACUGACGCUGAGGCACGACAGCGUGGGGAGCAAACAGGAUUAGAUACCCCUGUAGUCCCUGUCUCUUAUAC
rnacentral:rRNA from 1 species